AGGGACUACGUAUUUCCGAGUGAGGUGGUGAAAUGCGUACAUAUUCGGAGGAACACCAAAGGUGAAGGCAGUGUCCUGGGGAGCAUCUAACGCUCACGCUCGACAGCUAGUGGAGCGAAGAGGGAUUAGAUAUCCCGAUAGUCACUAGCCGUAAACUAUGACCUCCAGAUGUGAGGGGUAUCGUCCCCCUCUGCGUUGGAGCAUACGCAAUCAGUGAUCCCCCUGAAGAGUACGGUUUUAAGAUUAAAACUUAAAGUUAUUGCGGGGGACCCGCACAAACAGCGGAGCGUGUGGUUUAAUUCGAUGCAAGGCGAAGAACUUUGCCAGGGUUUGACACGCAGUCGCUCAGCGUUGAGAGAGGCGUGCACUCAAGGGAGGGUUGCACAGGUGGUGCAGGGCUGUCUUCAGCUAGUGUCGUGAGAUGUUGGGUUAAGUCCCGCAACGAGCGCAACCCUUGUCGUCGGUUAUAGGUGUCCGCCGAAACUGCCACUCUAAAAGUGGAGGAAGGCGGGGAUGACGUCAAGUCAGCACGGCCCUUACGUCCUGGGCUACACACGCGCUGCAAUGGUCGGUACAAAGAGUCGGGAACCCGCGAGGGGGAGCCAAUCUUGUCAAAGCCGGUCUCAGUUCGGAUUGUAGGCUGCAACCCGCCUGCAUGAAGUUGGAGUUGCUAGUAACCGUAGGUCAGCACACUACGGUGAAUACGUUCCCGGGUCUUGUACACACCGCCCGUCACACCACGAAAGUCGGCAACACCUGAAGCCGCUGGGCUAACUCUUCGGAGGGGCAGGCGUCGAGGGUGGGGUUGGUGAUUGGGGUGAAGUCGUAACAAGGUAACCA
rnacentral:rRNA from 1 species